CUACUACUCUCUCUGUCCGGAAUUACUUGUUGCACAAAUUUAUAAAGAUCGAUGGAUGUAUCUAGAACUAAAAUACAUCUAGAUGCAUCCAUUUCCGUGACAAGUAUUUUCGGACGGAGGGAGUACAUC
rfam:Hordeum vulgare subsp. vulgare, WGS project CAJW01000000 data, contig: morex_contig_40432